AGAGAGAGAGAGAGAGAGAGAGAGAGAGAGAGAGAGAGAGAGAGAGAGAGUGUUUAGUUCUCUACAGAGUAUCCCAUAUUCUGAACAUGAGACAACUGUUUUCCUGAGUCUUUGGUUUGUCUUGUAGCCAGGACUUGGCAUAACCACACCAUAGAAAAUAGGUCUACCUAGGGAAAGGCGCUUUUUGCCAAGCCUGACCACCUGAGUUCAAUUCCCCUGGACCGAUGUGGUAGGAGAGAACUGAUUCUUGCCAGCCCUCUGACCUCCACACACAUGCCACACACAGACUUGCCCCUGUAACACACACAGAAAUAAAUAAGUAAAGCUAGUGAUAAACUUCUACACACUCUGAACAGGCAUCUGUGACCCACGUCCCCAUGGAAAGUGCCUGAUGCUGGCUGGACCCAGUGCUAAGGUGGUGAUGCCUCACUGCUCCAUCAUGACAGGUCAUUGUCACCUUGCAGCGAGCAGAGGAGUUGCAGGCAGGGUCGUCAUUUGUCACUGCACAGAACCCAACCCCCAGUGACUUUCUGAUGGGAACUUUCAGUGGCCAGAAUGACCCAUUCCCUGACCUGAUUUCUCCCUGGGGAGCACAAGUAGAGAUUUUCCAACUCUACCAUCUUUCCACAUUUCCUGUGAAGAAGUACGAAGGCACGGUUGUGUCUAGAAUGGGGAAGUGGCAGAACUGUCAUCAGUAGUGACAGAUGAAGUGGGUUUCCCCCUUUCGAUUUCUUUUCAAACAUUGCUGUGAGCACACUGAGGUUUUUUUUCAUUAUUAUUUUUUAGUUAGCUUACAAAGCGGCCAGUUUCUUUGUGGCGUUUUCAUACACACUUAGUUUUGAUCGACCCUUUCUGCAAUCUCUUUGCUCCCUCAUUCCUGUUAAAGCCUUCCACCCAACAUCCCCCCGCCCUGUGGUUGGAUCAUAUGUGUUCUAUUACCCUCCCUACCUUUCUCCCUUAAAGCCCCUCUCUGGGGCCUCUGCACACACUCACGUCUCACAAAUACACACAUAUAAGACAUAGAAGCCUGGACCUGCCCCGUGCCUGGCUUCUCAUUUAAUUUAUUGCCUCCCUUAAGAGAUUUUCCAGUUCCAUUAUUUUCCUGCAGAUGUUUUGUUUGUCCUUGUUUUCUCUGAUUGACCUGUGAGGCUUGCUUUGAGCUUUUUGGUUUUUGUUUGUUUGUUUGUUUGUUUUGUUUUUAAGGUAGGUUCUCCCGACAUAGACCAGACUGUCCUAGUACCUGUUAUAGCCCAGACUGACCUGGAGCAGAUGACCCUCCCACUUUAGCCUCGGGCGUUCAGGGAUUACAGGCCUGCACCUCCAUACCAAGCAGAACUCAUAGGUUUUUAUUUAUUUGAAGUUUUUGAUCAAUUUGUUCUUUUUCUUUUUGAUACUCCAGUUAUUCUGGAUUUGGCCAAGCCUAAGAUCUGUAGACUAGGCCAGCGGACUGGAAAUGCCUAUGAGACUUCUGGUCACAAUCCAACUUAAUGCUUUCUAGUCCAGAAACUACAGGUUUGGCUAGCCCCGCCUUUAUCUGAUAGCAUGAGGCUCACCUUAGGAAGGGCUGCCUUUGUUACUGACAUCAACUGACUUUAUAUGUCAAUCAUAGCUACAAAAUUUCUUCCCAGCAACAGCGCUACUAGUGUUCAACACAACAGUGGGUCUAAGCAUGCCGAUACAUAAAAGCGACCAACACAGAUGGGUUCUUUUUUUCUCCAGGAAUAUUUCAAGCUCAUUGCUAUAGACUGAAUGUUUUUGCCUCCCUCCCCAAAUUAACAUGUUGGAUGAGAAUGUUUUACUGAACAUAAGUAACAAAUCAGGUCAUACUUGGAAGGCACGAGGCUUUAAUUUUGUUUGUUUGUCUGUGUUCUGUACGCCUUCUGUCUUGGUUUCUUUUCUUGUUGCUGUGAUAAAAUAUCCUGAUAAAAAGCAAGAUAAGAAGAAAGGUCACAGGGGAAGCUGGAGCGUAGCACACCCUGCUCCCAGCCCAGAGAUGCCACAGUCAUCCUAGGCCAGCCUCCAAAACAGAUGCCACAGACAGGAUGGGAGCGGAGGUCUUGAAGGACUUCAGGCUGGGUGCUGAUCCUCACUUACACGGUCUUCCCUGCGCUUACCGUGUGGCCUCUCUAAGCUGGGGCUUUAACUUUAAGUAGGAUAUAUUUUUAAGUGCACAUCCCUGUUCUGCUUUUUAAGUUCCCUUCCAUCCCCCACCCCCCACCCUGCCUUUUACUUGCAGCUGAAACAGCGAGGAAUGGUUAGAUUAGAUCUGCACAGCUCAGAUGGAAGGGGAGGAAGGUAGAAUCUCCACAAACCGCCUGGCCCUGGUCCUCAGACUGGCUGGGGACAGCUCCUGCCCUGGUAUGCUGGCCUUGGAUACUGGCCCCUGGGCUAGGCCCAGACCAGACACUCAUUGCUUGUCCUGAAACAGCAGCAGGUGCCACCUCUGUGCACAUGCCCUAAGUGUCCACUUUUGUCCUAACGAGUCACCCCGGUUGCUCAUCCUUUGCUCCUGAAGCCCAGGCACUAAGAGUCCCCAGCGCCUGGUGGGUGAUUCACCCUUGUUCAGCAGUCUCUGUCAGAGCACCCUCUUGAUGUCAGAGCCUGGCAUGGGGAAGGACUAUUGCUUGGCCUUUGUAAGGGGAGAGCUCACACGUCUCACUGCUUCAUACUGUGUGGCUAAAUGAGGAAGUGGGGGCUGGGGAAGGUAGCUGGUCGGCUCUGUCAUUCCUAUCUCAGCAUCCCAACACAUUACCCUAUCAGUCACCACCGCUGCCCAUUGUGGUAGUUUGAAUGUAAUUGUUCCCCAUAAAUUCAGAGAAUGGCACUAUUAGGAAGUGUGGCCUUGUUGAAGUAGGUGUGGCCUUGUUGGAGAAAGUGUGUCACACUGGGGGUAGGCUUUGAGGUCUCCUGUGCUCAAGCUUCCCUCAGUGUGACUUUCAGACCAUUUCCCUUUGCCUGCAAGAUAUAGGACUCUUAACUACUUUGCCAGCUCCACAUCUGCCAGCGCGCCCCCAUGCUCCCCACCAUGAUGACAAUAGACUGAAUCUCUGAACUGUAAGCUAGCCAUCCCGAUUAAAUGUUUUCCUUCAUAGGAGUUGCCGUGGUCAUGAUGUCUCUUCACAGCAAUACAAACCCUAACUGCGAUGCCCAUGUGUCAUCUUCAGUGCUGAAACUCCUUCAAAACCACAUUCACCAAGGAUGUGCUGGAAGCUGAACAUGGUAACACACACCAGUUUUUCCAGCUCUGAGGUUCAGCCAGGAUCAUCGAGAGUUUGAAUCCAGCCACACUACAUAUAUAAUUUCCUUUUCAUAUACAUAAGAGUCUGUCUUCUGUAACUUUUUUUAGUUAAAUGAUUCCAGUAGAAACUUUAUGAAUUUCAGCUACAUUUAUAAAGUCAACAUUUUAAUUAAAAAGAAAGUAAAUGGUAUACAAAUGAGAUAUUUGCUGGGUUUUGCAAAAUACCAAGAACUAGUAUUUUCUAUAGAUUAAAAACUACCUGAAAGACUGGGGAGAUGGGUCAGUGAUUAAGAAUGCGUAUUGUGGCCGGGCGGUGGUGGCACAUGCCUUUAAUCUCAGCACUCAGGAGGCAGAGGCGGGCAGAUCUCUCUGAGUUCAAGGCCAGCCUGGUCUACAGAGCGAGUUCCAGGACAGGCACCAAAACUACACAGAGAAACCCUGCCUCGGGGGGGGGGAAAAAAAGUAGAAGAAGAAGAAAGAAGAAUGCAUAUUAUUCUUUCAGAGAGGGAUCAGAUGUCUCCUGCCUCCAAGGGCACCAGCACUCUUGUACACAUACCCACAUAUGUACACAGACACACAUACCUAAUUACACAUAAAGACAAAACUGUAAAAGCUAUAGGGAUGUGUGCCUAAUGUGCACCCGUCCUGGGUUCAAUUCCUAGCAGCAAAAACAAACAAAACUCAGCCUACAUGGCUUAUUAUUAGGUUGUCUAACCAAUACCCUAUUUUUUUGAAAAUCAAAAAUGAUUUCCAAUUUUCACAACUGCCAAUCAACCUUUUAAUUAAUAUCCUCAUGUUGUGCAAUAAUCUUCAAAUAAGAAGAACUGUGGCUAAUGAGCUUUGACACUUGCCUGAUUUGGGAUGGACUUUGAGUCUCUGUGUCCUCGCCUGCAGAAUGAAAUAAACUGUGCACUGUACAUUAGUCUAGCUUGGCUCAAACAUGCACGUAUCUGAGAAGAUAAGGCUGGUGUGGGAAGCCCCAGCCCACUGUGGGCAAUGCUACUCCUGUGCAGGUGUUUCUGGGUUAUAUAGAAAUAGGGCUGAGUAAGCCAUGGGGAGCAAGCCAGUAAGCAGUGUUCCUCCAUGGCUUCCACUUCAGUUCUUGAUUCAAGUUCCUGUUUUUGUUUCCCUCCAUGGACUGUGACCCAGGAUAUGCAAAACAAAUGCCUCCCCCGACUCACACACAGUUUGCCUUUGGUGGAGGUCUUUACCACAGCAACAGGAAGCAAGGGAAGACAGUGUGUCUGUUUCCCACUGCAAUAUCAAAAUACCUGAGUAAAUUAAAUUACAAAGAAGAGAGAGCUGUUUGAGUCCACAGUUCCAGUCUCUGGUCAGUUGGUCCCAUUGAUUCUGGAUUGUGGUGAGGCCGAGCAUCAGGCAGGGGUGUGUGAUGGAGUGCUCAUGUCGCGGCAGUUGUGGCCAGGAAAUGCAAAAAAGAGAGAGGAGCUGGACAUCCAACAAUUCCACACCCCCAAGUGCAUGAAUACCUCCCCACUGGAUCCCACCUCUCAAAAGUCCCCAAUAGUGCCAAUCUGGGGACUAGCUUCUAUCACCUAGGACACUGGGAGACAUUGUGCCUCCAAACUAUCGAACAGCUCCUGGAUGCUGGUGAGCCUGGGAAUCCCACCAACUGAAAAGGAGAGAAAAGGCAGAAACUCGUGAGCCUACCUGAGCCCGGGGCUGAAAGGACACAACAAAAAUCCCAAUGAGCUCCAGGGUGGGUGGAGUCUCAGGUCACUGGCCUCCUAAAGAGCCAUCCCUCUGCCCCUUCAAAACCCUAUCACCACUGAGGGGUACCCAGGCACGAUGUUUAAUAUUGAUUGUCCACUUGCCACUUGGGAGACAAUUCUCUGGGUAUGUCAGUGAAAAAGCUUCUGGAUUGGGUUGAUGUGGGAAGUGUUGGUUUUAUGCAGCACUUUUACCCUGAGAGGAAAAGUCACGAGGCACAACAAAACCCACUAUAAGAGUUUUAUUAGGAGGAGAGAGGGACAGGACACAGUGUGUGGUCAGGCCUGCUGAAAAGACAUGUGCGGAGAGAGGGGGGAGGGUACAUGGGACCCGCCUUUUAUAGACUACCUUGUGCAUGUGCACAUGAGCCCACGUGGCUACUCCACACAUGCACAUAGAUUACGUGAUCACGCUGCACACAAAUUAUGUGACCAUGUAGCACAUGGAUUACGUAGGAUGUAGGGCCUGGAAAUGACUAGGUGGAAAUGACUAAAUGUCUCGCCAGGGCAUGUGCGAUCAUGGGGGCGUGGCUAGAAUUCCUAUCAGGAGGACCCUCCCUAAGUGUGAGUGACCUCAUCCCCUGGGCUUCCGGGCUGAGCUGCCUGGGAAGGAGAAAGUGAGCUGAGCGCCAGCACCCAUCCCCCUCUGCUUCCCCGGGGCAGGGGCAGUGUGACCAGCUGCCUGCCGCUCCUGCCACUCUGCCUUCCCUGGCGUCAUGGACUGUGUAUCUUCAAACUGUGAGCCAAGAUAAACUCCUUGUCCAGUAUUUCAUCAUAGCCAUGAGAAAGGCUGCACUGUGAGUGCUGGUGGAAUUUGUGAGCAUGAGCAUUCAGUGCUCAACUGCAAAGUAUUUGCAAGCAUGGCCACCUUUGGUCGCCUCCGACUUUAGAGUAGACAGGACCAGGAUCUUGCAAGGGUCCGUUCUCCCAUCCCGUGCUUUACUAUCCAGGUAUUCUACACAGAACUCUAGAAACUCUCAAAGGACCCAAGUCUAAGACCAUGAGGGAUUCUUUAGGGAGCUGAGCAGGAGAUGCCCUGAUUUAAAUGAAAAGGCCUGCUGUGAGAUGGGUGGUUAUCCCCGUCCUAAACUCAUGUUAAACUGUGCUGUGACAACCGGGGAGGAAAGGGUUUAUUUCAUCUCACAGCUCACAGUCCAUCACAAAGGGACAUUCUGAAGGCAGGAACUGAGGCAGAGGAGUGCUGCUUCCUGGAUUGCUGUCAGGCUUAUGUUCAGCUACCCUUCUCAUACCUCCCCAGGGACCAUCUGUCAGGAUUGAGACUGCCCACAGCGGACUGGGCCCUGCCACAUCCAUUAAAAAAUCAAGAAACUGUUCCUCAGACAUACCCACAGGACAAUCUGAUGAAGUGACUCCAGCUUGUAUCGAGUUGAUGUGAAGCUAGCUGUACAUCUCUGAUCUUGUGGAUGCUGGAAGCCUAGGUGAGUGAUGUUCUCUAGCUCUGGUCCUACAAAAGCCUCAUUGUAUGGUAUUGUCUGGUCCCACCAGAGCUGGAGGCCUGUUGUCUUUGCCUUUUGACAUUUGGCUAUGAGGUGAUUGUUGGGAGUCACUCUGAACUGAUCCUCCUUGAAGUGUGUAGAGUACUUGAAAGUAUACGCCAGGAUCUGUCAAGAUCUCUAAGCCUUCGUCUAUUAUUUCAUCAACACCCCCCCCCCAUCUGGAACCCUCAUUAUGCUAGUGUGGCAUGCUCGAUGGUGUCCAUUGGACUCUGGCGUGUGGCUCAGCUCAUCUUUCACUCUGUUAUUGAAAUGUGAUUGUCUCAAUGGACAUUGAUUUUCUUUUUCUUCUACUUGCUCACAACCGCUGGAAAGUUGUACUGAUGAGCUUUUCAUCUUAGGUGUUAAAUUUUCAAUUCCAGAAUUUUUUUUUUCAUGAAGGAGUGAGAGACAGGGUCUCACUACAUAGCCCAGGCUAGCCCAGAACUGGCCUUCCUUCUGCCUCAGCGCUGAGACUGCAAGUGUGUCACCAAGCCCAUGUCAGACUUUUCCACGUGGACAUAGAUGAGACCAUUUUUGUGGUUUUAUUGGCAUUUCUGUUUGUUCUGAUAAUGCUCUUUCUGUUGGUAUGGCCUAACUUCUCUGUUUGCCUUUUUUUAAUCAUAUGAAUAUACUUAAAUUUUAAGAAACAUGGUCUUACUGUGUUGCCCAGGCUCGCCCCAAGUUCCUGAGUUCAAAAGGCCCUCUGCCUCAGCCUCCCUAGCAGCUGGGGCCACAGGCAUGCACCACUAAAAUGGAUCUAAACAGCAGCUUUAAAGUCCUUGUCUAGCGAGUCCAACAUCUGUACUUCCUCGCAGACAGUGUCUACCGGUUAUUUUUAGUUCCCUGUCCAUGGGCCAGCCUUGUGUCUUCCAGUGUUCCUAUUGUUUUGUUAAAAGCAGGAUGAUUCAUAUCAUACAUUGUUGACUACCCCGAACACCAAAUUCUCUAUCUCCAGAGAAUUUGAGUUUUGCUUUUUGUUUUGUAUAUUUUAUAAAGUUGAUUAUGCAAUCUAUUUUUAAAAAUUAUAGCCUGAAGUCUCCUCAGUUACCAGGGUUGUUUCCAGAAUGUUGAAUGGUCUGUGGGUAUUCAUUUCCCCAGAUUUCCCUUUCAAAGAUUCUGGUUAGUCUGCCGUGCGUUAGUCACUGCCCCAGACAUCCAUGAAGUUACUCAGUUGCCUGAAACUGUUUUCAGUGAAUGCCCUGUAACAAAAAUGCCUUUCCCUUUGUGUGAGCACAGAGACAGGCCGUGAGUAGACAUCCUUCCAAGUGGGUUUUCUGUGGGCUACUUGACCAGAGUGUAAUGGUAGCCAUUUGGCAAAGGGGUUUGAAAGCCCUAUGAGCAUGUCUGUUUCCUUAGGUGGCUGCUAAGAUUAUCAUUUUGCUAGGAAUACGGGUUGUAACAUUUUAAGGUUACUUGGGGAGAUGUAACUAAGGCUUAGAAUUCUAACCAAAAGCCAGCCACUUUCCAUAUAUAUAUAUACAUACAUACUCCCCAGACUUCUGCAAUUUGAUUCAUUUUUAACAUUUGAAGAAAAAAAAAAGAUUCUGACAAUUUUUACGCAUUUUCUAAUGGCUUUUAAAAUGUUUUAAUUAAAAUAAAAUCACAUCACAUAUCAUUUUCCUUUCACCCCUGCAACCCCUCCUGUGUCCCUUCCUCCUUCUUCCUCCAUGUUACCCCUCACACUCUCUCUCAAAUUGGUGGCCUCCAUUUCUUUUCUUCCCUUUUAUUCAAAAUAGAUUUUUUAUACAAUAUAUUCUGAUUAUGGUUUCCCCUCCCCCAACUCCUCCCACUUCCUCCCCUCUUCCCCUCCCAUCCAGAUUCACACCUAACAGACAUCUAAGAAAUAAUAAUAACAUAAAAUAAAUACAAUAAGAUAAAUCAAAAACAAACAAAUUGAAAUAUGACAAAACAAUCAAACAAGAGAAAGAGCCGAAGAAAAAGCACAAGGCAUGCAUAUAGACACGGAGACACACAUGUUUGCACACAUGCACGCAUGCACGCACACACACACACACACACACACAGGAAUCAAAAAAAACCCCACAAAACUGGAAACCAUAAUACAUAUGCGAAGGGCCUAUCAGAUUUUUUUAAUGUCCUGACUUAACAUUUAUGAGACAAAGAACCUCCAAAGAUGUUGUUGACUUCAUUAUCUGUUGGCCAUCUACUGCUGCACAUAGAGCUUACCCUUAAGAGUGGUUUGUUUCCUUCCUGGAAGAAAACUACUUUUUCAUUUGCAAGUGGCUAUCAAUUGGAGAUAGCUCAUGGAUUAGGGAUGGGGCCGUGUGUCCACUUCUCUCAGCUGUAGGACCCCAUGUGGUGCAGACCCAUGCAGGCCUGUGCAUGCUGCCUCGCUCUCUGUGAGAUCAUAUGUACACCAGCCCUGUUGUGUCUAAAAGGCCUUGAUUCCUUGGUGUCCCCAUCUCCUCUGGCUCUUACACUCUUUCUGCCUCCUUUUCCACAUUCCCUGAGCCAUGAGGGGAGGGAUUUGAUGGAGACAUCCCAUUUAGGGCUGAGUGUUCCAAGGUCUCUCACUCUCUGCAUAUUGUCUGGCUGUUGGUCUCUCUAUUUAGUCCCAUAUGUUGCAGAAGGAAGCUUCUCAGCUAAUGGCUGAGCGAGGUACUGAUCCAUGAGGAGAGAAGAAUGUUGUUAGGAGUCAUUUUAUUACUACAUCUCUUUAGCUAAAUAGUAACAUUUGGUUUUACCCUGUGUGAUAGUUUGAAUGUAACUGGCCUGCUUAAGCCCAAAAGGAGUGGCACUAUUAGGAGGUGUGGCCUUGUUGGAGGAAGUGUGUCAUUGUGAGGGUGGGCUUUGAGGUCUCCUUUGCUCAAGCUUCACUCAGUGUGAUACUCAGACCACUUCCUGUUGCCUGCAGGUCAAGAUGUAGGGCUCUCAGGUCCUUCUCCAGCACCAUGUCUGCCUACAUGCCACCCGGUUGCACCAUGAUGAUAACAAACUAAACCUCUGAAAAUGUAAGCCAGCCCCAAUUAAAUGUUUUUCCUUUAUAAGAGUUACCAUUAUAGAUCAAAGGGUUUGUAGAUGGGUUGGUGUUUACCUUCUCUUAUGGUAGUGUACAGAGUACCUCCAAGUACCCUGACGCUAGUCAGUAUGGGUAAAGGCUUUAGGUGGGUACCAGCUUGACUUCUCUAUGCUCAGUGAUUUGUGUAGAUGUUGUCUCCAGCAAUAGAGCCUUUCUGUCUCUUGGUGGAGAAUCAAUAACCUUGGCAAUAACCUGACUUGUUUGGGGGUUCCCAUGGAAACCCUGUGGCCAAGAACUUGAUUAGAUAUAACCCAUUUCUAGUACUGGAAGCUCCAUUUGGUAAUGAAAGAUGUCCAGUUCAGGCUCUGUCUCAUCCAUUAUUUGGUAAUUUCAUUGAGAUCACCUUCAUAUAGGUAUGUAUCAUAGGAAGCUUCUACUGUAUUCGGUUUUCAUAAAGCCCCUCAAACGGCACUGAAUUUUAGCUAUCCAUCCCAUAUUCCAUUCCUUGACCCCUUCUUCCUGCCCCUCACUGUUUGAUCCUCCUAUCCCAGUUCCUGCCAUAUCCAUCCAUUUUCUCUGUGUGUCAAUAGUUAUUAGUUGCCUGUAGUUCUUUGUCCAGGAAUAAGACCCUGUGAGAUGAACACCCCUUCUGUGUCCACGUGUCUAUUGGUGUUGUUAUUCUUCAGGUCUAGUUUAGGCAGCCAUGUUGUUGGAUAUCCUUGGUGUAGCCUCCCUAUCAUUUCUGGGAGAUACAAUGUCACAACCAAUUUCCUGGUCCUCUGACUCUUACAGUCUCUGCUCCUGUUUUCCUCGGUUUCCCCUGAGCCUUAAGUACAGUAGUUGUAGCAUAUAGAUGUAUCUGCUGGGCUCCCCGCAGUCAGUUGUCCUCUGCAUUUUGACCAGUUGUGGUUUUCUGUGAUGGCCUCCAUCUGCUGCCAAGGGAAGCGUCUUUGAUGAGCGACAGCUAUAUUUAUCUGUGGGUAUAAAGAUAAGUUUUAUAAUGCAGUUAGAAAUUAUGCUGGUCCAGUAAAAUGGUAGUUGUAGACUCUCCUCUGAGAUCCAUGACCUCACUAGCCCUGAGUAGCUGGCUAGGUUUCCAGUACCAGGCAGGAUUUCCCUCUUGUUGGGCAGAUCUUAAGUUAAUACCAAGGUAUGAGUGUCGUUGCAGCAUUUUUGGGGAUGUCUUGCCAUGCUGGUCACUGUUGUGCUUCAUAGAUGUAACAGCUGGAUAGGACUAUCGAUGGCUUCCCUAUCUUGGAAGCCUGCACAGCACUCUUUUCCAGCUACUUGUGUAGAGAGAAUUCUGAGUCCUUGCUCUACCAUUUCCACCCACAUCUCUUUCACAUUUGGCAUUCUACUCAAAGUGUAUCCAAGUGCAAUCAGUAGCCUGGACUGUCAGCUGGAUGGCCUCUCGAGUCACCGUGGAAGCAAGUCUCUGGACAUGUCACUGGGGGAGUUUCUAGGUUAGGCUAGUUGAAGGGAGGACACUCACUAAAUGUGAGUGCCGCCGUCCCAUGCACUGGGGUCCUGAACUGAAUACAGAGACGGUGAGAGGAGCUGUAAUAUUCAUCACAGUCUGCUUCCUGAGUAGGGGACACAGCGUGACCACCUGUUUCAUGGUCCCGUGGUCAUGCCAUCCCUACCACGACAGGCUGCAUUUCAAGAUCUGAGCUAGAAUAGACCCCUCCCGAGUUGCUUUUUAUCAGGUUUGUUUGUUUUUUUUCAGCAACAAGGAAAGUAACUAACACAAAUGCUUCACUAUAAGCCAACUUGGUUUUACAUUAUUUGCCAUGGAAUGAAAUCAGCUCUCAAGAAGGAUGGGCUGAGUCUAUUCUGGGAGCUCACACCUGCCACUCCCAAGCGGCAAAGCUCUAUUUAAUGUUCUAAUUCUGUGUUGUCUCAUCUACCAUAGUAUAUCUGCCCUGGGUGUAGAAACAAGUAGCCUUCAUUCCUGUCUACUGUGUCUGGCAUAAAAUGGGAACAGGGGUGGGAGUGUAAAUGAGAACCCCAAAUGAAUGUCCCAUGUUCUUAUUUAUCUGACUACCCUAACUUUGGGUAGGACAUCCCAGUAAUACUAAGGAGUGUCCUAAUGUCCCUACUAACUUAUUUCUGAACUCUGACGAAAGACUUCGGCAUCCGCGAUCCAUGAGUGCUCUGCCACCGGCUAUACGAUUCCUAAUGGGAAUCACUAUUUUGAAAUUCUAGGUUAGAUGCCUCUAACAGUAAGGACAACAUUUCUUUUUAAUGAAUAUAAUCAAGGAGGCUACAGAAUGGCUACAUUUCCAUAGCAGCUCCUUUCUCUGAACCCGAACAGCAAAUGCUCAAAAGAGCAGUAACAACGUGCUCUGACAGUGCACAUGUGUACAUUGACAGUGAGUGUGUGUGUGUGUGUACAUGAGUGUGUGUGUGUGUGUGUACAUGAGUGUGUGUGUGUGUGUGUGUGUGUGUACAUGAGGAGACAUGCCCGUGGAGACCAGAGGCAUCCCAUCUCCUGGAGUUGCAGCUUUGGUUUUAAGUCACCCAACAUGGUUGCUGGGAAUCAAACCGGGGUUCUCUGCAGGAGCAGUAUAUACUCUCUUAACCGCUGAGCCGUCCCUCCAGCCCCAAGAAGUGACAUCUUAUGGUCAGUUUUGAUGCUGUUGAACUGUGUGUGUGUGUGUGUGUGUGUGUGUGUGUGUGUGUGUGUGUGUGGCAUGCAUGCAUGUGUGGGUAUGCCUGGCUGUGUAUGUUCAUAGAGUCCAGGAGAGGGUAUCCUGUGUCCUCCUUUAUCAAGCUCUUCCUCUUUCUUUGAGGCAGGACAUUCUCCUGGUACCUGAACUCUUGGGUAGGGUGGAAUCCAGGAGACACAGUGAUCCUCCUCCUUUCUCGGCUCCUCUCAGAGCAGGACUCAACCUGUUCAACCUGUUAGAUAGAUAUUGGGAUCCAAACUCUGGUACUCAUGAUUACAGAGCAAGCAUUCCUAACUACUGGGCCAUCUCUCUGGCCCCUGUUUUAUUUUAUUGAAUUGUCAAUCUUCAUGAUCUAAUAAUUGAGAUUGCUAGUAUUUUACUUCCUCCAGCUCACUACAAACUUUACAACAUAAUAUAUACUUGUAAAACUAGACACGUUACUGUGUGUCACUUUUCCAUAUUAACUGUAUAAAAUAACAAGUUUCAUCACAGCAGUUUCAUGCAUGUAUACAACAACUUCUAUAAGUUAACAUGUAAGGCUUACUCCUGGCCCAAUGUAACAAACUAUUCCGUGCUGUGGGAUGUUCUGUAUGGCAAAUGUGUUGCUGAUUAGUCAAUAAAUAAAACACUGAUUGGCCAUUGGCUAGGCAGGAAGUAUAGGCGGGACAAGGAGGAGAAUAAAGCUGGGAAGUGGAAGGCUGAGGCAGAGAGACACUGCCAGCCGCCAUGAUGAGAAACAGCAUGUAAAGAUGCCGGUAAGCCACGAGCCAUGUGGCAAGGUAUAGAUGAAUGGAAAUGGAUUAAUUUAAGCUGUAAGAACAGUUAGCAAGAAGCCUGCCACGGCCAUACAGUUUGUAACCAAUAUAAGUCUCUGUGUUUACUUGGUCGGGUUUGAGCGGCUGUGGGACUGGCAGGUGACAGAGAUUUGUCCUGACUGUGGGCCAGGCAGGAAAACUCUAGCUACAUUUCCGUGUGUGUGCUCCCUUGAAAUUCACUUGUUGAGGCCUGGAGAGAAGACUAAGUCAGGAAAGUGCUUCCUUGAAAUCAUAGAGACCUGAGCUUAACACCCAGGACAAAGAACAGCCAUGGUCGACCUCUGACCUCCACAUGCACAUAUGCAUAGAGGCCGAUCUUUGACUUCCACAUGCAUACACACAUAGAGGUUGACCUCUGCCCUCCAUAGGCACACAUGUAUGAAGAUGCACACACACACACACACACACACACACACACACACACACACACACACACACACAUAACACAUGUUUUCUUUAACUUCAUUGUUGAGCCCAAACCCCCAGUGUGAUGGCAUUCACAGAUGGAAUAGGGGAAAUGCCUAGGGUCAGGUGUUCAUUCUCUCUCUCUCUCUCUCUCUCUCUUUGAAGCUUGCUAUUUAUUUUUUCAUUUUUGUUCUCUAUUUUUGAGGUUGUAGUAUAAUUACAUAUUUAUUUUCCCUUUCUUCCAUCUAAACCCUCCCCUAGACCUCUCCUUGUUCUCUUUCAAAUUCAUGCCAUCUUCUUUAAAAAUUGUUCUUGGGUUGGGGAUUUAGCUCAGUGGUAGAGCGCUUGCCUAGCAAGCGCAAGGCUCUGGGUUCGAUCCCCAGCUCAAAAAAAAAAAUAAUAAUAAUAAAAAUAAAAAAAUUGUUGUUAUAUGUGUAUAAUAUAUACUCACAAAUAUAACCUGCUCAGUGUGAAUAAUGUUACUUGUAUGUUUUCAGGGCUGACAUUCGGUGCUGGGUAGACAGUUGGUGCGCUCCUCCCUGGGGAAGACUGUCUCUCCCACUCUCAGCGUUCCUUAGCUGCCUGGAGUUGUUUGCGAAGGGCUGAGGCCUCCUGGGCUUUACCCUGCUCAUUUUGGGAUGUCCAUUGUUGUCCUUGUUCUGCUCAGGUUUGGGCAGCCGUGUUGGUGAGACUUUAUGUGCGCAGCUUCUGACAUUCCUGGGAGACACGGUCUCGCAGCAAAUGUCCUGUCCUCUGGUUCUUACAAUCUUUCCUCCCCCUCUUCCUCAAUAUCCCCUGAGCCUUAAGUGUGGGAGCGUUUUGUAGAUGUAUCCAUUGGGACUGGGCUCCAAAAUUCUGCAUUUCAAUUGGCUGAGGUUCUCUACAAUGCUCUUUAUCUGUUGCAAAGAGAGGUUUCCUUGAUGAGGGGUGAGGACUGCACUUCUCUGUGGGUGUAAGGACGAACAUUUAGAGUGCACUUAGUGAUUGUGCUGGUUUAGUAAAGUGAUGGUUGCAGUUUCUUCUCCAAGAUCCGUGACUUCAGUAAUACUGGGUCGUUGACUAGGUUUCUAGUACCAGGCAUGGCUUCCCUCCUGUUGAGCAUUUCUUAUGUCCAAUUAGAGAGCAGUUGAUUACUGCCACAGUACACAUGCCACUACUUCAGGGGCAGUCUUGAAGGCAAGGCCUUCACCAUGGGAUUUGUGAGUGCUGGCAGUUUCUCUGGGCUUCUGAGUAUGCAGUAAGAACAUGCCAGGGAGAGCAUCCUUCCCGAAGGCCAAAUCUGCUGGCAGCUUUGUCUUAGACAUCUAGCCUUCUGAACCAUAAGACAUAAAUAACUGUGGUUUUUUGUUGUUGCAGCCUGCAUCCUGAACGAACCAGAACAUCCAGGAUUCCAGAUUUUAGCAAAAUGUGUUCAGAAAGCCUAAAGAAAUAACAAAUCUCUAUACUCCACAAUAUUGUAAAAUACAGUGUGUGUGUGUGUGUGUGUGUGUAUGUAUGCAUACACAGGGGCGCAUGUAUGGAUGAUUGUGUGUAUGUGAAUGCAUGCAGAGUUCAGGAAACAAUGGUGUCUUUCCUCCUCAGGUGCCAUCUGCCUCAUUUUUUGAUACCAAGUCUUUCACUGGGAUCCAGGCUUCUCAAUUUAUAUAGACUUGCUGGUCAGUGAGCCCAGAGAUCCUCCUGUCUCCACCUCCCCAGCACGGGGAUUAGCAGGAUGGGCCAGCUCAUCUGUCUCUUUAUGUGGGUUCUGGGGAUCAAACUCAUGCCUGCCCAGCAAGCAUGUUCCUGACUGAUCGUCUCCCAAGACUUUAAUACGGCUUUUCUUCCCACCUGCAAGGUUGCUGGGGAGUUUGAUUGUUAAUAUUUCAAAAACACCUUUGAAACUGAUCACAGAAAGAUGAACAUGAUUGAUGAAAGUACUAUCCAAAUUCCAGACAUGGCUCUGACUUCAUACGAAAUGUGUGUGGGUCACAAAGAUGCAUACUGCUUUCUAAAUUUCAUAACAGCUUGUGUAGCAUGGAUGUCAGAUUUCUUUUUUUUUU